GCCUGAAUAGCUCCGUUGGUUAGAGCAAGGUGCUGAUAAUGCCAAGGUUGCAGGUUUGAUCCCUAUGUGGGGCA
rnacentral:tRNA from 1 species